UCCCUACGGGGUGUAGCAGUCGCGAAAACUNUGCAAUACACGAAAGUGUGACAGGGCUAUCCCGAGUGCCAUCCGCUGAGGAAGGCUUUUACCCAGUCUAGAACGCUGGGGGAAUAAGGAGAGGGCAAGUCUGGUGUCAGCCGCCGCGGUAAUACCAGCUCUCCGAGUGGUGUGGAUGUUUAUUGGGCCUAAAGCAUCCGUAGCUGGCUGAGUUAGUCCCUUGUUAAAUCCACCGAAUUAAUCGUUGGAUUGCGGGGGAUACUGCUCGGCUAGGGGACGAGAGAGGCAGACGGUAUUUCUGGGGUAGGGGUGAAAUCCUAUAAUCCCAGGAGGACCACCAGUGGCGAAGGCUGUCUGCUAGAACGCGCCCGACGGUGAGGGAUGAAAGCUGGGGGAGCGAACCGGAUUAGAUACCCGGGUAGUCCCAGCUGUAAACGAUGCAGACUAGGUGUUUGGACGGCCACGUGCCGUUCUAGUGCCGCAGGGAAGCUGUUAAGUCUGCCGCCUGGGGAGUACGAUCGCAAGAUUGAAACUUAAAGGAAUUGGCGGGGGAGCACCACAAGGGGUGAAGCUUGCGGUUUAAUUGGAGUCAACGCCGGAAAUCUCACCGGGAGCGACAGCAGUAUGAAGGCCAGAUUAAAGGUCUUGCCAGACGAGCUGAGAGGAGGUGCAUGGCCA
rnacentral:rRNA from 1 species